rnacentral:tRNA from 1 species
CAGGGAGACAACAACUGAUCGUGAUGUCUGAGUGAAUUUAUUCUUAGACCAUGAUCCUGUCACUUUAGGUCGAUCGGUACCUCAAGUUGAUAAUCAAAGAAAAGGUUGAUCAAAGAUUUUUUCUUUAUUAAUUGGCUUCAGUUCCUAAACUUUGUCUAGUUCACACCUCUCAAGGGUUACUCCUGGGCCAUUAGCUCAGGUGGUUAGAGCGCACCCCUGAUAAGGGUGAGGUCCCUGGUUCAAGUCCAGGAUGGCCCAUUCGGUUUUGGGGGUUUAGCUCAGUUGGUAGAGCGCCUGCUUUGCAAGCAGGAUGUCAGCGGUUCGAGUCCGCUAACCUCCACUGAUCGACCUCCUCUAAAUACCAGUGGAGACGACCAUUGAUAGAUGUGAUUUAGGCUUAUUAAUGUCCGCUGAAUGAACCUAGCUUUUUAUCAUUCCCAAAAGGCUGAUAGGACGCUGGGCUCACUGUUAUUCGAAAGAAUUUCAGAGAAGUUCGGCAGAACCUUGACAACUGCAUAGGUGAGUCUGGAAAGAAUAAAGCAUCUCAUGGAUGCAUCUUUUUUAAAUCACUUCUUUUUUGUUGUGAAAACAGCUUAAUAGAUUCGAUUUAAAUAAUGGUGUUAAUUCUUGAGCAAGAGCCGAGACUCUAUAGCGUUCUCUUUAAACAUAAUUUAAAGAGUUAGAUUUUUAGAUUCAAACUUGAAUUGGUUUGAUUGAUAAAUCGAAUAAAAUCUGUUUAUUGAUUAAUACUUGCUUAAGGAAAUGAAUCUCUAAAGAAUUACGUUUCAACAACGUAUAAGCGUUAUGGAGGUUAAUU